GAUCCAGACACUCCUCUGGCCUUCCCAGGAUAGGGGUGGGCCAUUUGGAAACUGGCCUGCCCAGCACCCAGCCCUCUCCUCUGCCUUCAUUCACAGUGGCUCUCCUGCCACCCAGCUUCCACAGAGCUCACAGCCACCCAACCCUUCAAGGGUCUUUGUAAUCAGGUAGGAUUUGCAAGCAUGUAAAAACAUUUCUCUUAAACUAGAUUGCCUCUGGAGACACAUCAGUCAACAGCUGGAUGUGCCCGAAGAAACAAGUGGCACACACCUCCUUCUGUCCACCAUCCUCCUCUGACUGACAGCAUUGCAACAACCUGCGCGGUUCCUGGCUCCUUCCUUCCACGGCAUGACCCUGGAGAUACCCCUCAGCUCCCAACUGGAUCCUCCCUCAGAGGGUUUCAAGCAUGAAUCUGGCAUCCAUAGGGGAUCACGGUGACGCGGCAGAGACUGGUUGGAGGUGCAUAAGAGAGAAACGCAGCUCUCACUCAUGUUAGGCUUGCUGGCUGCUCCGGUGGCUCUGGAGUCCUUGCUUCUAGUGGCACUGAUGACGAAAGGGAAAGCACAUGGAAGCUUGUUGGAAUUGGUGUCUAUCACUCCUGCCCAAAAUCCAUGGACCAGAAGUUGAUAAAUGCUGGAAAAUGUUCUCGAGAAGAGGAGUUAACAGCAAUUGUCAUCCUCUCCCUAUACAAGAAUAUAAGCAUCAAGAAGUCACAGGGCAGCCUGGGUGACUCAGCGGUUUAGUGCUGCCUUCAGCCCAGGGCAUGAUCCUGGAGACCUGCAAUCAAGUCCCAUUUUGGGUUCCCCGCGUGGAGCCUGCUUCUCUCUCUGCCUCUCUCUCUCUCUGUCUCUCAUAAAUAA